GAUGAACGCUGGCGGCGUGCCUAAUACAUGCAAGUCGAGCGAACGGACGAGAAGCUUGCUUUUCUGAUGUUAGCGGCGGACGGGUGAGUAACACGUGGAUAACCUACCUAUAAUACUGGGAUAACUUCGGGAAACCGGAGAUAAUACCGGAUCAUAUUUUGAACCGCAUGGUUCAAAAGUGAAAGACGGUUUUGCUGUCACUUAUAGAUGGUGCCGCGCUGCAUUAGCUAGUUGGUAAGGUAACGGCUUACCAAGGCGACGAUGCAUAGCCGACCUGAGAGGGUGAUCGGCCACACUGGAACUGAGACACGGUCCAGACUCCUACGGGAGGCAGCAGUAGGGAAUCUUCCGCAAUGGGCGAAAGCCUGACGGAGCAACGCCGCGUGAGUGAUGAAGGUCUUCGGAUCGUAAAACUCUGUUAUUAGGGAAGAACAUAUGUGUAAGUAACUGUGCACAUCUUGACGGUACCUAAUCAGAAAGCCACGGCUAACUACGUG
rnacentral:rRNA from 1 species